AUCUUUCUAGUAUAAAUAAUAUAAAUGAUUUCCAAUCAUUUGAUUUUGGUCAAAACCCAAAGAAAGAUA
rnacentral:tRNA from 1 species